rnacentral:rRNA from 1 species
UACGGAGUGUGCGAGCGUUGUCCGGAAUCAUUGGGCGUAAAGGGCGCGUAGGUGGCUUCUUAAGCUUGCGGUGAAAGCCUGGGGCUCAACCCCGGGUCGGCCGUGCGAACUGGGGGGCUGGAGCACUGUAGAGGCAGGCGGAAUUCCGGGUGUAGCGGUGGAAUGCGUAGAGAUCCGGAAGAACACCGGUGGCGAAGGCGACCUGCUGGGCAGUUGCUGACACUGAGGCGCGACAGCGUGGGGAGCAAACAGG